AACCACACUAUCGAUGAAUGGAUUUACUUGCGAGAUGAUGUGGUUAUUUCACAUAGGACGAGGACAUGGCAUCAUAUUACCAGCCAUCACACAAAAUUAACAGGAUGCCACGUCCUCAUCCUAGAUGGAACAACCACGUCAUCUCACGGGUGAAUCCAUUUAUCGAUAGUGUGGUU
rnacentral:pre_miRNA from 1 species